rnacentral:rRNA from 1 species
AGACGUAGGGGGCGAGCGUUGUCCGGAAUUACUGGGCGUAAAGAGCACGUAGGCGGAUGUAUAAGUCAGGUGUGAAAGACCGCAGCCUAACUGCGGGGUUGCACUUGAAACUGUAUAUCUUGAGGGCAGGAGAGGUUAGUAGAAUUCCUGGUGUAGCGGUGAAAUGCGUAGAAAUCAGGAGGAAUACCAGUGGCGAAGGCGACUGACUGGACUGACCCUGACGCUGAGGUGCGAAAGCGUGGGUAGCAAACAGGAUUAGAUACCCUGGUAGUCCACGCCGUAAACGAUGGAUACUAGGUGUGGGAGGUAUCGACCCCUUCCGUGCCGGAGCAAACGCAAUAAGUAUCCCGCCUGGGGAGUACGGUCGCAAGGCUGAA